rnacentral:rRNA from 1 species
GAGGAAUAUUGGUCAAUGGGCGAGAGCCUGAACCAGCCAAGUAGCGUGCAGGAUGACGGCCCUAUGGGUUGUAAACUGCUUUUGUAUGGGGAUAAAGUCAAUCACGUGUGAUUGUUUGCAGGUACCAUACGAAUAAGGACCGGCUAAUUCCGUGCCAGCAGCCGCGGUAAUACGGAAGGUCCGGGCGUUAUCCGGAUUUAUUGGGUUUAAAGGGAGCGUAGGCUGGAGAUUAAGUGUGUUGUGAAAUGUAGACGCUCAACGUCUGACUUGCAGCGCAUACUGGUUUCCUUGAGUACGCACAACGUUGGCGGAAUUCGUCGUGUAGCGGUGAAAUGCUUAGAUAUGACGAAGAACUCCGAUUGCGAAGGCAGCUGACGGGAGCGCAACUGACGCUGAAGCUCGAAGGUGCGGGUAUCGAACAGGAUUAGAUACCCUGGUAGUCCACGCCGUAAACGUUGGGCACUAGGUGUGGGGGGCCUUUUCCGGGUCUUCCGCGCCGUAGCUAACGCAUUAAGUGCCCCGCCUGGGGAGUACGGCCGCAAGGCUA